AUCUCUGUAGAGUCUGCAUAUCAAUAAGCGGAGGAAAAGAAACUAACUAGGAUUCCCUCAGUAACGGCGAGUGAAGCGGGAAGAGCUCAAAUUUGAAAUCUUCAAGGUUCUACCUUGACGAAUUGUAGUUUAAAGAAGUGUUUUCUGUUAGAGAGUUUGGUAAAAGUUCUUUGGAAUAGGACAUCAUAGAGGGUGAGAAUCCCGUAUUUGACCAUUUCUUCCUAGCUUUGUGAUACACUUUCAAAGAGUCGGAUUGUUUGGGAAUGCAGUCCAAAAUGGGUGGUAAAUUUCAUCUAAAGCUAAAUACUUGGCGAGAGACCGAUAGCGAACAAGUACCGUGAGGGAAAGAUGAAAAGAACUUUGAAAAGAGAGUUAAACAGUACGUGAAAUUGUCAAAAGGGAAGCGUUUGACACCAGUGUUGUUUUUCCGAAAAUCAAUUAAAAUGGCUUCGAUGCUAAGUAGUAUUGACUUCAUAGCUUGCUGCUUAGUUUUGGUUCAUGUCUUUCGUAAUGCACUUUUCGGUUAACAAGUCAACAUCAAUUUCUUUUGUUGUAAAAGGUUAAGAGGAAGGUGGCUUUACUUUCGGGUAAAGUGUUUAUAGCCUUUUAGCCUCUGCAAUCGGAGAGAUUGAGGUCUGCAGCGUAGAUCCUUCGGGGUUAGAUACAUUUGUGCUAAGUUAUAGCUUUUCAUAGACAACUUGUUGACUAUGCUUGAGUCAUUGUAAUUUACUCGCAGAUGCUAUUUUACCUACGCUUAGGAUGUUGACGCAUGAGAUAUACGC
rnacentral:rRNA from 1 species